GACGAACGCUGGCGGCGUGCCUAAUACAUGCAAGUUGAGCGCUGAAGGUUGGUACUUGUACCAACUGGAUGAGCAGCGAACGGGUGAGUAACGCGUGGGGAAUCUGCCUUUGAGCGGGGGACAACAUUUAGAAACGAAUGCUAAUACCGCAUAAAAACUUUAAACACAAGUUUUAAGUUUGAAAGAUGCAAUUGCAUCACUCAAAGAUGAUCCCGCGUUGUAUUAGCUAGUUGGUGAGGUAAAGGCUCACCAAGGCGAUGAUACAUAGCCGACCUGAGAGGGUGAUCGGCCACAUUGGGACUGGGACACGGCCCAAACGCCUACGGGAGGCAGCAGGAGGGAAUCUUCGGCAAUGGACGAAAGUCUGACCGAGCAACGCCGCGUGAGUGAAGAAGGGUGUCGGAUCGUAAAACUCUGUUGGUAGAGAAGAACGUUGGUGAGAGUGGAAAGCUCAUCAAGUGACGGUAACUACCCAGAAAGGGACGGCUAACUACGUG
rnacentral:rRNA from 1 species